rnacentral:rRNA from 1 species
UACGGAGGAUCCGAGCGUUAUCCGGAUUUAUUGGGUUUAAAGGGUGCUCAGGCGGGCCAUUAAGUCGGCGGUGAAAUUUUGCGGCUCAACCGUAAAAGUGCCUUCGAUACUGGUGGUCUUGAGUGUGGAUGAAGUAGGCGGAAUUUGUGGUGUAGCGGUGAAAUGCUUAGAUAUCACGAGGAACUCCGAUUGCGCAGGCAGCUUACUAAACCACUACUGACGCUCAUGCACGAAGGCGUGGGGAUCAAACAGGAUUAGAUACCCUGGUA